CACACGACUCUCGGCAACGGAUAUCUCGGCUCUCGCAUCGAUGAAGAACGCAGCGAAAUGCGAUACCUGGUGUGAAUUGCAGAAUCCCGCGAACCAUCGAGUCUUUGAACGCAAGUUGCGCCCGAGGCCAUUCGGUCGAGGGCACGCCUGCCUGGGCGUCACG
rnacentral:rRNA from 1 species